UCAGAACGAACGCUGGCGGCAGGCUUUCACAUGCAAGUCGAGCGCGUAGCAAUACAAGCGGCAGACGGGUGAGUAACACGUGGGAACGUACCCUUCAGUUCGGAACAACCCAGGGAAACUUGGGCUAAUACCGAAUACGUCCGUAAGGAGAAAGAUUCAUCGCUGAAGGAUCGGCCCGCGUCUGAUUAGCUAGUUGGUGAGGUAACGGCUCACCAAGGUGACGAUCAGUAGCUGGUCUGAGAGGAUGAUCAGCCUCAUUGGGACUGAGACACGGCCCAAACUCCUACGGGAGGCAGCAGUGGG
rnacentral:rRNA from 2 species